rnacentral:misc_RNA from 1 species
GUGAAUCAUCAAAUUUUUGAACGCAUAUUGCACUCUCUUCGGAGAGUAUGCCUGUUUGAGGGUCAGCCUAAAAAAAAAUCGACAUAGUUGCUGUUUCGCGGUGACCUUUGUCGGAAAUUGGGUUAUCUUAUACCUUUGGGUUUUAAGCGGCUUAAAAUUUUCUUUAUGAUUCCACGAACGUUUCUAAAAUUUUAUUUCUUACAUGUUUAUGGUAUCGAUCUUUAUUA